rnacentral:tRNA from 1 species
GCGCGAGUAAUUCAGUGGUAGAAUGUCUCCUUCCCAAGGAGAAUGUCGCCGGUUCGAAUCCGGUCUCGCGCU